rnacentral:rRNA from 1 species
AACGAACGCUGGCGCCAUGCCUAACACAUGCAAGUCGAACGAACCCUUCGGGGUUAGUGGCGCACGGGUGCGUAACGCGUGGGAACCUACCAUCAGGUUCGGAAUAACAGUUAGAAAUGACUGCUAAUACCGGAUAAUGUCCUCGGACCAACGAUUUAUCGCCUUUUGAUGGGCCCGCGUUGGAUUAGCUAGUUGGUAAGGUAAAAGCUUACCAAGGCGACGAUCCAUAGCUGGUCUGAGAGGAUGAUCAGCCACACUGGGACUGAGACACGGCCCAGACUCCUACGGGAGGCAGCAGUGGGGAAUAUUGGACAAUGGGCGAAAGCCUGAUCCAGCAAUGCCGCGUGAGUGAUGAAGGCCUUAGGGUUGUAAAGCUCUUUUAGUAGGGAACGAAACGGCAGGUCUUAAUACGGCUUGCUAAUGACGGUACCUGCAGAAGAAGCACCGGCUAACUACGUG